rnacentral:lncRNA from 1 species
AGACAGUCGCGCGGGGACCAUCGAGAACAAGGAGUGCUGUUUCGAAGUAGCGGCUAGAGGGGCCCCCUGCCUCCGCCCCCGCCCUUCCGAGGAUUCCUGGAGUCCACUCACCCCUCCCCACCACUCCAGUAGCGGCGGGAGCAGCAGCGUUAGGCCGGGGUGUGGCUGCACCUCUGCGAAGGCUGUCGUGCCCCGUGCAGCUGCGGCGUUCGGGUGGGGGAGGGGAGGCUCACACCCUGCGGCGGCUUAAGCCUGGAUUUACGCACUGGAGGAGGGAAUUAGCCCUGAGAUGUCAGCCCUGUGCCCCUGGCGCUGUCCACCCGGACGCCCGCGGAGCGCCAGGCGCCGCAGCGGACCGCGCGCGCACUGAUUGCCGCAGCUACUCUCCCUGCCGUCGCCGCCCGGGACCGGGUGACAUUGAGGUUUUCGUCUAUCGCCGCUGGGCCGAUAGGGCUUCUUUUUAAGAUUUGGCUUUCCAAGUAAGAUUUUUGUUUGCCUGCUUUUCUCCUGGAAUUUUUUUGUUUUUGGUCGAAGAAGCAGGUAACUUGCAUAUCUUAAGGAAAACAUUGUUUUUGCUUUGCUUUUGUUGUUUAAAGAUCCUAAAACGUACCGUGAUUCCUUUACGUUACUAAUAAUUGGAAAGUGUGUUAAAUCAAGGGUUCGCUUAAUGUUCUUUAGCCUUUGUACAUAGAAUAUAUAAAUGUCGUGAGUCAUCUUUACGAGGUUUAUGAGUUUGUGUUCGGGUUUGGCUUUUUUGUUGUGUGUGCGUGGUUUUUUUUUUUCUUUUCUUGUAACACCGUUAGGCGUUUCAUUAAGGUGUAUAAAAAGUAAUUUUAUACACCUAUUAAAAAUUCCCGCUGC